AGGAGCUGGUGAAUGGCGUGCAAAUUAGCCAAGUCCUCGGGAGCCUCGUUACUGUCACUCCCAAACCGAAGCUCCAGAGGCAACGUGAGGAUUAAUCAAUCCAGAAAGCUCGCCCAUUAUCAAAGCAAGGUGGAAGACACACCUACAGUUCGACUGACAGUUCAACCCGGACACGCGUCAACGUAUGGCAGAACACCUCGAGGGUGGCAGCCCUGAACCCACACCAGCAAGUGACCAGUGAGCAAGCAGACAUGGUGUCUAGUGAGCAGUUACGGCAUAUACAGUCCAUGAGGAACUGAAGAAACACCGCGUUAAGGGAUUCAGAAUAAUCUCUGAAAUGAACAGACAGGCCAAUAUCCAGCAACUCUAUAAAUAUAAAUCUAAUGAGUUCGUAGCUAAAGAAUGAGUCAGCAAAUUUAUCUACUAAAUAAAGAUGAGCGAGUGAGUAAA